UACGUAGGGUGCGAGCGUUGUCCGGAAUUACUGGGCGUAAAGAGCUCGUAGGUGGUUUGUCGCGUUGUUCGUGAAAACUCACAGCUUAACUGUGGGCGUGCGGGCGAUACGGGCAGACUGGAGUACUGCAGGGGAGACUGGAAUUCCUGGUGUAGCGGUGGAAUGCGCAGAUAUCAGGAGGAACACCGGUGGCGAAGGCGGCUCACUGGACCGGUACUGACGCUGAGGCGCGAAAGCGUGGGGAGCAAACGGG
rnacentral:rRNA from 1 species